rnacentral:tRNA from 1 species
GAGGGCAUAGCUCAGUAGUAGAGCAUGUGCUUAGCAUGCAUAAGGUCCUGGGUUCAAUCCCCAGCACCUCUA